rnacentral:rRNA from 1 species
CCCGGGCCUUGUACACACCGCCCGUCACACCAUGGAGUUGGUUGACCUUAAGCCGGUGCGCCAACCCGCAAGGGGGCAGCCGACCACGGUCGGUCAGCGACUGGGGUG